GGGGAGAUUCCAGAGCGGUCAAAUGGGGCAGACUGUAAAUCUGUUGGCUCAGCCUUCGGAGGUCCGAAUCCUUCUCUCCCCA
rnacentral:tRNA from 1 species